rnacentral:rRNA from 1 species
CCACACGACCGUACCGCAAACCGACACUGGUGCGCGAGAUGAGUAUUCUAAGGCGCUUGAGAGAACUCAGGAGAAGGAACUCGGCAAAUUGACACCGUAACUUCGGAAGAAGGUGUGCCUUUAGUAGGUGAACCUGUACAAGGGGAGCCCAAUGAGGUUGCAAAAAAUCGGUGGCUGCGACUGUUUAAUAAAAACACAGCACUCUGCAAACACGAAAGUGGACGUAUAGGGUGUGACGCCUGCCCGGUGCUGGAAGAUUAAAUGAUGGGGUGCAAGCUCUUGAUUGAAGUCCCAGUAAACGGCGGCCGUAACGAUAACGGUCCUAAGGUAGCGAAAUUCCUUGUCGGGUAAGUUCCGACCUGCACGAAUGGCGUAACGAUGGCCACACUGUCUCCUCCUGAGACUCAGCGAAGUUGAAAUGUUUGUGAUGAUGCAAUCUCCCCGCGGAAAGACGGAAAGACCCCAUGAACCUUUACUGUAGCUUUGUAUUGGACUUUGAACAGAUCUGUGUAGGAUAGGUGGGAGGCUUUGAAGUGUGGUCGCUAGAUCGCAUGGAGCCAACGUUGAAAUACCACCCUGGUGUGUUUGAGGUUCUAACCUAGGCCCGUAAUCCGGGUCGGGGACAGUGCAUGGUAGGCAGUUUGACUGGGGCGGUCUCCUCCCAAAGCGUAACGGAGGAGUUCGAAGGUACGCUAGGUACGGUCGGACAUCGUGCUAAUAGUGCAAUGGCAUAAGCGUGCUUAACUGCGAGACUGACAAGUCGAGCAGAUGCGAAAGCAGGACAUAGUGAUCCGGUGGUUCUGUAUGGAAGGGCCAUCGCUCAACGGAUAAAAGGUACUCUGGGGAUAACAGGCUGAUACCGCCCAAGAGUUCAUAUCGACGGCGGUGUUUGGCACCUCGAUGUCGGCUCAUCUCAUCCUGGGGCUGUAGCCGGUCCCAAGGGUAUGGCUGUUCGCCAUUUAAAGAGGUACGUGAGCUGGGUUUAAAACGUCGUGAGACAGUUUGGUCCCUAUCUUCCGUGGGCGCUGCAGAUUUGAGGAAGCCUGCUCCUAGUACGAGAGGACCGGAGUGGACACACCUCUGGUGUAUCGGUUGUCACGCCAGUGGCAUUGCCGAGUAGCUAUGUGUGGAAGAGAUAACCGCUGAAAGCAUCUAAGCGGGAAACUCGUUUCAAGAUGAGAUCUGCCGGGGCCUUGAGCCCCCUAAAGAGUCGUUCAAGACCAGGACGUUGAUAGGUCGGGUGUGGAAGCGCAGUAAUGCGUUAAGCUAACCGAUACUAAUUGCUCGUGCGGCUUGACC